AAGAAGAAGGAUGUUGAAACUGUUUAAGAACUGUUAAAGACACUCACCAAAAGGUGAAGAUGUUUUUGAAAGUCUUGGAGCACCUUUGGAUGUUGCUAAACCCACAAAAGAUUCAAGUGUGGCUAUUUUUUGACUAGGAGCUGUAGGCCUUAUUGCUGCAGACGGAGCAAAAAUUGCUAGUACUUCAAGGAUAAUUUGUGUCGAUUUAAAUGCUAGCUGAUUUCAGUAAGCUAAGAAAUUUUGCGUGAAAAAGUUUGUGAACCCGAAGGAUUAAAGUAAACCAGGUCAAGAGGUAAUUGCUGAGAUGACUUAUUGCAAAUUCGAUCUGAGUGUGAAGUGUACUGGCCAUAUUGAUGCUAUGAUUUCAGCAUUUGAAUUGUCCAUGAUGUGUGGUAGUGGCUGUUCUUAUUGGUAUGUACCCCAUAAGGAAGCUGUGUUCAAGACACUUUUGAACUUUUUAAUGAAAGUACUAUCAAAGUAACUUUCUUUGGAAACAAGACACAAAGUUCGGAUAUUCCUUCUAUUGUUGAGAAAUACAUGAAUAAGGAACUUGAAUUGGAGAAAUUCAUCACUCAUACACUUCCCAUACUAUGAAAUUGACAAGGCUUUUUGAAUUAAUAUGAAGGGAGAGGGCCUUCGUUGCAUCAUCACCAUGGAGGACUAAACUUACUGUCCUAGAAAAGGAGCUUCUAGCUAGUCGCUUUUGUUUGAGAAAAGACCAUGAAUUGGGUGGAACACUAUGAGAAGGAUCCGAAAGCUGCAAUGGCUGGACUAUUGAACAUGAUGUUUGAGGUAAUUUGAUUUUUAAAUGUUUGUCUUUCUGAUGAACGAGGCAUCUUUUAAUCAUGGUGAAAGGGAAGCUCUGAGAUCUUGUAUAAAAGUUUUGAAUUUCUGGGCUACAGAGAUUUGGUGGGAGUUACAAGACUUCACCCUCAACAUAUUCAAAAGGAUUAUAGAUGAGCUCAUUAUCAAUGUAUCAUUGUUCCAGAAAUGGGCAUCAGUGCAAUAUGGAGAACUGUAGUAUUUAAGAUGGAGACUUUCAUCAAAUGCUCCCUCAGAUGUCUGCCUAGUCUUCCUUCAGGAUUUUAAAUCUUCCGUCCUUCUGGUUAAAGAGGCAUUUAUUUAGAAUGGUUGUGCUCUUUUUUCAGAACAUUGGCUAAUCAGGAAAGCAACCCUUGUAUCAUCCACAGAGCUAGAAGCUUUGGGGUACUCAUCAGAUAUAUGCAACGGAAGCAGCUUCCGGACUUGGUAAACUGAUGAUGGAU